UACAGAGGUCUCAAGCGUUGUUCGGAUUCAUUGGGCGUAAAGCGUGCGCAGGCGGUGAUGUAAGACAGUUGUGAAAUCCCCGGGCUCAACCUGGGAAUUGCAUCUGUGACUGCAUCGCUAGAGUACGGUAGAGGGGGAUGGAAUUCCGCGUGUAGCAGUGAAAUGCGUAGAUAUGCGGAGGAACACCGAUGGCGAAGGCAAUCCCCUGGACCUGUACUGACGCUCAUGCACGAAAGCGUGGGGAGCAAACAGG
rnacentral:rRNA from 1 species